GCUUGAUGCUUCAAGAGCUAAAUGCUUGGUAAAGAAGAAAGACACAAUUCAGCUUUGAGAGAAGUUUCUGAGUGAAGAUGAAUUUGGCAGAGAUCUGUGACAAUGCCAAAAAGGGAAGAGACUAUGCACUCAUUGGGAAUUAUGACUCUUCUAUGGUGUAUUACCAGGGUGUCAUCCAGCAAAUCCAGAGACAUUGCCAGUCAAUCAGAGAUCCAGCAAUUAAGGGCAAAUGGCAACAGCUUUUGGCUUAUGAAGAUUACUUCAAGUCUCACGUUGUGUGUUAUUUCAACUGCUGCCUGUGCACCAUGGAAUGUAUGUUGUACAUUGGAUACAAGCCUUGAGUAUAAAGGGACCUUUAAUGCUGUUUCCAGGAUUCUUCACCUUACCAGAGAAUCUGAAGUUGGCACCUUCUCAUAAAUUACCUCUUUUAAGUAAAAUCAGAAUUACCCUAACAAUGCCUGUAUACAAUUUAAAAAGCACUAUCCCCAGAAGGAGCAUCAGCAGGUGGGGUACUGUCUGUCAUGCUGUGUGCUCAUGCUAAUUCUGAAACUUCUCAAUACAGUGGUGGUAGCUAAGCUUUGUCAGAAUCUAGCUUUGCCAUUACUUGUGCCAAUCUCUGCUCAGGGACCUAAAAGUAAGAAGUGUGGAAAAAAACCUGUUCUUCAUUCUCAGGCUGUCUUCAUUAUUUAUAGAACUACCUGUGGGCCUGGGAGCAAAUGAUAACCCUGGAAUCCGCAGUUUUUUCACACCUGCACUUCCCUCACUGGGACCUAGAAAAAUUGACCUGCUUUCUAACUCGCUCUUCAUAAAUAAUUGUACUUUCUCAUUCUUUGAGACUGAGUAAGAGGGAAUCUGAUAACCUGGAUGUUAGCACUGCUUUCCGGCUCCAACAGCAACUAGCUCCAAACUGCCAGUGUCAUGCAGUUGCUGUUUGACAGACUGCUUCUCAUGAAAAGUACAAACCCAGAAGUUACAUCACCAGAAACACUUGUGUUGAUGCUGUACGCAUAAAUUCAGGUCUAACCCACUUGGUAGCAGCUAAGUGCAGAAUUAAAAUCAAAAUAGAAUCAUAGAAUCAUAG
rnacentral:lncRNA from 1 species